rnacentral:rRNA from 1 species
GAUGAACGCUGGCGGCGUGCCUAAUACAUGCAAGUCGAGCGGACAGAUGGGAGCUUGCUCCCUGAUGUUAGCGGCGGACGGGUGAGUAACACGUGGGUAACCUGCCUGUAAGACUGGGAUAACUCCGGGAAACCGGGGCUAAUACCGGAUGGUUGUUUGAACCGCAUGGUUCAAACAUAAAAGGUGGCUUCGGCUACCACUUACAGAUGGACCCGCGGCGCAUUAGCUAGUUGGUGAGGUAACGGCUCACCAAGGCAACGAUGCGUAGCCGACCUGAGAGGGUGAUCGGCCACACUGGGACUGAGACACGGCCCAGACUCCUACGGGAGGCAGCAGUAGGGAAUCUUCCGCAAUGGACGAAAGUCUGACGGAGCAACGCCGCGUGAGUGAUGAAGGUUUUCGGAUCGUAAAGCUCUGUUGUUAGGGAAGAACAAGUACCGUUCGAAUAGGGCGGUACCUUGACGGUACCUAACCAGAAAGCCACGGCUAACUACGUGCCAGCAGCCGCGGUAAUACGUAGGUGGCAAGCGUUGUCCGGAAUUAUUGGGCGUAAAGGGCUCGCAGGCGGUUUCUUAAGUCUGAUGUGAAAGCCCCCGGCUCAACCGGGGAGGGUCAUUGGAAACUGGGGAACUUGAGUGCAGAAGAGGAGAGUGGAAUUCCACGUGUAGCGGUGAAAUGCGUAGAGAUGUGGAGGAACACCAGUGGCGAAGGCGACUCUCUGGUCUGUAACUGACGCUGAGGAGCCAAAGCUUGGGGAGCGAACAGGAUUAGAUACCCUGGUAGUCCACGCCGUAAACGAUGAGUGCUAAGUGUUAGGGGGUUUCCGCCCCUUAGUGCUGCAGCUAACGCAUUAA